rnacentral:rRNA from 1 species
UACGUAGGCAGCAAGCGUUGUUCGGAGUUACUGGGCGUAAAGAGUGCGUAGGCGGUCUUUUAAGUUUGGUGUGAAAUCUCCCGGCUCAACUGGGAGGGUGCGCCGAAAACUGGAAGGCUCGAGGAUGGGAGAGGCAUGCGGAAUUCCUGGUGUAGCGGUGAAAUGCGUAGAUAUCAGGAGGAACACCUGCGGUGUAGGCAGCAUGCUGGACCAUUUCUGACGCUGAGGCACGAAAGCGUGGGUAGCAAACAGG